GGUAUUCCUUAUCUAUCUGAUUACGUUAAUUGUCUGGAACCUGUCCCAUUGCACUCUUUGCCCUUCAUUCUUCAGGUCGUAUCUUUGUUGGCUACGCUCCUCACCCCAGUCACAUAGUUCACUAUGCUCCUGGGGAUUCGGUCGCUUGCCGCCGCGAUACAACCUGAAUUAUUUUGGGCAACCAAAAGCGCAAUAAGACAGGUUCUGCGUGAGUUGCCGCGCGUUUAAAGAAC
rnacentral:sRNA from 1 species